CUUAAAAGAAUGGCGGUUCAAGCGCGAGAGAAAAAGACGGCAAAAAAUCCAAAAUCGACCCUUUUAAAUACAACACCAGAUACGGCUGCUAUUUUUGAAAGUCGUAAGGAACCUGGGACAUGUGACGAUUCCAAAUUUGGUUCUGUCAGCUGUUCUCGUGCCGAAAGCGUGUCGGUUUCGGAUGCUCUCUUACCCUUUGCCCCUCUUCAUUUAUGGACUCUUCUCGCCUGGCAAUUGAGAUUUUUUCACCCCGAGGAGUGCGGAACGUCUGAAACCAUCACGAUCCAGAUAGAUUGCAACGAUGCCUCUCACGGUUGAUCUUCUAAAUCCACCUGCGGCCGAGGAGAAGAAGAAACACAAAUUAAAACGACUUGUGCAGCACCCGAACUCGUACUUUAUGGAUGUGAAGUGCCCUGGGUGUUUUAACAUAACGACGGUCUUCUCCCAUGCCCAGAGUAGGGUCAUCUGCUCGCGCUGUGCUACAUAUCUCUGCCAGCCAACAGGGGGCCGGGCUAGGCUUACGGAAGGAUGUUCUUUCCGGAGAAAACCUUAUUGACUUGUAGCAGUUUAUUUUUGUUUCAGCUGUGUUGAAGAAUGUCUGUAUGAGUCUUUAGCCUUGGAAGACAUCUCUCCCAUUGCUUAUUUUCUUAAUUUUAAUUACUUUUUGAAUGUUUAAUAAAAUAUUUUAAAAAACUCAAA